ensembl:misc_RNA 7SK 7SK RNA
GGCUGAGUGACUGCGUUUGCCAGUCUCACCACGCCAUGUGCGUGCUCCUCAAUGCUGUGCAUUUGCUUAAAGAGGGUCAUCUUCCCUGGACGGAGGAGGACCAGUCCGUGGUCAAGGAUGUACAAAUAGCUGUGCUCCUCUGCUAGAACCUGAAAACUUGCUCUCAAAUUCAACAAAGAAAAGGGCCAGAGAGGUAGGUAGCCCCAUGGUGGAGUAUUUGCCCAGCAU